rnacentral:tRNA from 1 species
CGCGGGGUGGAGCAGCACGGUAGCUCGUCGGGCUCAUAACCCGAAGAGCGCAGGUUCAAAUCCUGUCCCCGUAACCA